UACCAGGUAUAUCAAUGCCAAACGCCCAAUACCACUUGGCAGGAAAUAUCUUCCAAAUUCCUGCCGGUAUACUUGACGAACCAUUCUACACAGUUGGCGGACCAAUGUAUAUCAACUUUGGUUCUCUAGGAUCGGUGAUAGGACAUGAAAUUAUGCACGGGUAUGAUACACGAGGUCGUGAGUUUGACGAAAUCGGUCAGAAGAAAACUUGGUGGUCAGAAGAAUCCAUCCAAGCGUUCGACGAGAGGAAACAAUGC